rnacentral:rRNA from 1 species
GUCUACGGCCAUACCACGUUGAAAGCACCAGUUCUCGUCCGAUCACUGAAGUUAAGCAGUGUCGGGCUCGGUUAGUACUUGGAUGGGUGACCGCCUGGAAAAACCGUAGAAUCCUUUUGAAG